CACUAACAUUUUUCAAAUCAAGCGUUAUUUUAAAAACCCUAUAUUAAACUGUAUUCCCGGUGGAAACUGGAAUAAUUUGCAAAAAAAAAAUCAUCCCGCGUCAAUUAUUCUAAUGUAUACUCAGAUUCGGAUCCUAAUAAAUUAUUUAUUGUAUAAAUAGUAUUUAAAUAUUUAAAAUUGAUUUCAUCUUUAAAAGCCUGUGUUACUUUAUUUUGCUGCAGGGACAAAACUGCACGUUUUUGACACAAUGUCACACCCGUUACAAAAAUUUGUCACACCCGUUAAAUUGUUAUAAAAAAACUUUAUUUUAAAAUAAAUUUCCUUCAAAUUAAUACCUAUUGGAAACGCAACAUCUCCUUUCAUAUUGAAUACGAUAUCCCGAUAUCCACGACUUUCAUUAAAAAAUCUAUAAUAUGGCUUCUUAAAGUCACCGGAGCAGAGUAAAUCAAUUUUCUAACGUCAAAUCCGUUACAUCUAAUCAGCUUAAAAAAAAAUUGUUUUAACAGCUAAAAAAAUAAGGUGUUGAAAUUGUUAAAUACCUUAUCAACUGAAUAUUACACAGACCAGAAACAAAAAAUUAAGAAACCGUGUCACACUCCUUAAUGUGGAAAUACAAUUUUAUUUUUUUUGUUUGUUGAAAUCGGUUGGGUCGUUUACGAGAAAACCAGAAACAUGUUAUUUUUAUAAAAGAGCCGUUUUUGAAAUUACAACUCUUUUGUAUUUGGUCAUAUCAACUACCGUAAAUUUUAAGCAUAAACAAAAUCCAUUUAUCCCUCAAGGGAAUCACCCAAAAUCUUAAACUAUCAAGUUUGAAGAAAAUCUCAUUAGUGGCUUAGACUGUCGCUUAUAUUGGAAAGUUAAAGUGAUAAGAUAUCCUCACAAAUUCAACUUCACCGGAUCUUGUGAAAUUUUUGUGACUUGUAUGCCAUUAGUGAAGUUUGCCAGAAUCCGUUAAUUCAAUUUAAAUAGCCUAAUAUUCAGUAUUCAGUAGACCUUCAGCCCAAAUGCGUUUCGAAAAGGUACAACCCUCGUCUAAAUGAUGACAUCUUAGAAGGCCACAACAAUAUCUUACUGAUAAGCCCAACUGUAGGUACUUUUAAAUUGAAACAAGUAACUUUAACUGUACAAUGCCAUUUAAUUUAAAUUUAAGUAGGCGUUUAAAGUUUGUAUAUCAGCUUGUCAGUUGUUUUAUUCGAGAAAAAAUCAUAGAAAAUUAUUAAAAAUCAAAAUAAAUAACGCACUACAUAUGUAUAUUUAAUAUUCUACAUAAUUGUUUUGAACGCGAAUUGAUAAACAAAAUAAUAAAAAGUGUUACACCAAUAAUCGAAAUUGCAAAAGUCAAAAGUUGUUCCAAAAAGAGAGUGCUAAAGGCCACCGCAUUCAAGUCCUAAAAAAAGAAGAAAAAAAAGAAGUAUUAAAAAAGAAAACAUCAUCGCCUUUCGAUACACUUUUGGACUAUUUGAUCAAAGUCAAAAGAAGAAGAGGAAAAGGCAAAACAUAAAGGGGGAAAAAAAUCUGAAUUAUACCUGUUUCCAUGAAGAAGAAAAUUAUAGAAAGAAAAAAAAAAAAACAAGAACAAAGGUGUACACACAAUCUGGGAUAAAGAGAAAGGUCGAUCACUUGACUGACUUCAAAAUGGUUCAACAAAAUUUUAAUUUCUUCCUCAGGUGGA